AAAGGGAGUGCUUCUAUGCGAGUUUUGGCGUCUUCGUUGAUACCAGACGACCUGAGCCAGGCAUGGCGUCGCAGAAUGAUAGAGGAAACCAUGGUCUUGGAAGCAAUGUCAGCAGAAUGUCUGGAAGCAAGAAGCUGAUGCUUGGCUACAUUAGAGGCUUCUUCAAAGGUGUUGAGGAAAAAGGACCGAACAUCAUCUGAAGUGUCUUGCAAAGCAGGGUCUGCUGCGGAAGAUUUCACCCUCGAAGUUGCUUUGUGGGCGGGAACCUCAGAGGAAACAGCCGGGGCAACGGAGGCGCCGGGCGCCGCUCUAGAAAUUUCCGAGGAUUCCGGCGCAGGCGCGGACUUAACCCUAUAGUGUGCAUUCACAGAGGUCACGAACGAAGAA